GUGGGGAAUAUUGGACAAUGGGGGGAACCCUGAUCCAGCCAUGCCGCGUGUGUGAAGAAGGCCUUUUGGUUGUAAAGCACUUUAAGUGGGGAGGAGGCUUACCUGGUUAAUACCUGGGCUAAGUGGACGUUACCCACAGAAUAAGCACCGGCUAACUCUGUGCCAGCAGCCGCGGUAAUACAGAGGGUGCAAGCGUUAAUCGGAUUUACUGGGCGUAAAGCGCGCGUAGGUGGUUAAUUAAGUCAAAUGUGAAAUCCCCGAGCUUAACUUGGGAAUUGCAUUCGAUACUGGUUGGCUAGAGUAUGGGAGAGGAUGGUAGAAUUCCAGGUGUAGCGGUGAAAUGCGUAGAGAUCUGGAGGAAUACCGAUGGCGAAGGCAGCCAUCUGGCCUAAUACUGACACUGAGGUGCGAAAGCAUGGGGAGCAAACAGGAUUAGAUACCCGUGUAGUCC
rnacentral:rRNA from 1 species